UGGGGAAUUUUGGACAAUGGGGGAAACCCUGAUCCAGCCAUCCCGCGUGUGCGAUGAAGGCCUUCGGGUUGUAAAGCACUUUUGGCAGGAAAGAAACGUCGCGGGUUAAUACCCCGCGAAACUGACGGUACCUGCAGAAUAAGCACCGGCUAACUACGUGCCAGCAGCCGCGGUAAUACGUAGGGUGCAAGCGUUAAUCGGAAUUACUGGGCGUAAAGCGUGCGCAGGCGGUUCGGAAGGAAAGAUGUGAAAUCCCAGAGCUUAACUUUGGAACUGCAUUUUUAACUACCGGGCUAGAGUGUGUCAGAGGGAGGUGGAAUUCCGCGUGUAGCAGUGAAAUGCGUAGAUAUGCGGAGGAACACCGAUGGCGAAGGCAGCCUCCUGGGAUAACACUGACGCUCAUGCACGAAAGCGUGGGGAGCAAACAGGAUUAGAUACCCUGGUAGUCCACGCCCUAAACGAUGUCAACUAGCUGUUGGGGCCUUCGGGCCUUGGUAGCGCAGCUAACGCGUGAAGUUGACCGCCUGGGGAGUACGGUCGCAAGAUUAAAA
rnacentral:rRNA from 1 species